rnacentral:lncRNA from 1 species
GGGGCCUGACCGACCCCGACCCAGACGGUUUGGGUUCAACUCUCCUGCACAAAAUAAGUGGAAAUGCUGAUGGAAAUAGUUAGAAUAUAUUUUCUAAAGAGCUGACCCACUAGCAAGGGGCAUCAGCCCAAGGUCUGGGUGCCGGGAGCCCAGAAUGUUAAGAUUGCUUUCGCCCGGGCGUUUGCUGAACCCGAGGAACAGAGCUCCUGAUGUGGGGAGUGGCGGGCGCGCUCGGGGUGCACGUGCAACGGAGACACCGCCCCUAAACCUGGGGCCCUGAGGCUAACAGCUAACAGUGGCCCUGCCGUUACGGCCAGUGUCAGGUGCCAGCUGGGCUGGACCAGGAAUUCCCAGAAACCUGGCAAGGCAUGAUUUGGGGUGGGUCGUGCUGAGGGCCACACCAUCCGCUUCCCCGCUUCUGAGGCCUUCCGACCUGGGCUGAGCCCGGCUACCCGAGUCCCGGGGUCUCCGGCUCACAGACUUCUCGGCCUCCGUAAUUGCAAACGCCAGCUCCCCCAGUCCAUCUCCUGUCCUGGAUCUACGUCUAUAUCCUACUGGAUCCGUCUCUCUGGAGAACCCUAAUACAGCUGUCAACACAAGGAUGAACUAACUACAAGAAGGCCUGAAUAGGAACUCUCCCAGGGGACGAAGAGGUUUCAGCCUUCAGCAAAGGAUGGUUCAUAGAAACCGUUCGCAUAGUCGGCCCUCCACGGACUGCAACCCUAGUUAAUAUUACCUACAGUAAACAAAAAAUUCAAGUAUAGAUUUUAGUCUAAAGCAAAUAGGAAAUGUCGCUUCCCUGGACGUUGGGAGAAGCAAACACGAAUCCUCUCCUGAGGCCGGAAGCGGUGGCUCACGCCUGUAAUCCCAGCACUUUGGGAGGCUGAGGCGGGCGGAUCAUUUUAUAACUAUCUAUUAAAUGAACACAUGAGGGCUCUCUCAAGGCCAUCAUUUCCGCGGAGUCCCAUUUCCUGACUCAAAUGACAAGCUCUCAACUUUCUACUCAAGAUCAUUGAAACAUCUGUGUUGAUUAUUUGUAACCGGGAUAUGCUUUAUUUAUUAGAUAAGAGACUAACCGUUGGUGCGUUGAUGAGUUCAUCCUUGAGAUGUUGUGUGUUGUUCUGUGGCUGAGGAUGUGGCCGUGGUGUUGCUGGCCCCACACAUCUGCGCGUUUCUGGGUCUUGCACACGCACCCACACUGCAGGCCUUCACUCCCGCGUCCUGCUUUGCUCUGUCCUGCUCUUGCUGUCUUUCUCAGACUUUCCGUUCCAGCAGCGUUUUCCUCCUCUGCAAAUGAGAUUCUCUUCCUGGUGUCCCAAGGUCAACAUCCCCAGUAAUUCACUCCUCCUGAGGAUGGCUCCAACUCGCUUCUCUGCCCACACCUGCCUUGUGCUUGGAUGCAUGUGCACACAGAGUCCCUGCCUGACUGUCCCCCUUGUGGCAAGCCCCUGGGUCACUCUGCAUGUGGCACCCACAGAUGGCGGCAGCAGCCUGUCUGGAGCAGUCACUACAUAGACAUGCGACACCCACAGAUGGCGGCGGCCAGUCUGGAGCAGUCUCUGUAUAGACAUGCGACGCCCACAGAUGGCGGCGGCCAGUCCGGAGCAGUCUCUGCGUGGGCACGCGACGCCCACAGAUGGCGGCGGCCCGUCUGGAGCAGUCACUGCGUGGGCAUGCGACGCCCACAGAUGGCGGCGGCCUGUCUGGAGCAGUCUCUGCAUGGGCAUGCGACGCCCACAGAUGGCGGCGGCCUGUCUGCAGCAGUCUCUGCAUAGAUAUGUGACACGCACAGAUGGCGGCGGCCUGUCUGGAGCAGUCACUGUCAUGACACCAGCAGCAGUGGGGAGGUGGCGCCGGGGCUGCGUGCUCCACGGAGCUGGUGGGAGCCAGGAACAGGCAGAAGCCACCCACCUUCCAAGCCAGCAGGGAGAGAGCCUUGUGCUCCCCAGGUUCAGUGGCAGCUGCCCAGCCAUGGUUCCAGAUCUGCGCAUUCCUUUGCUCUUGGGGGUGGGAGUGGGCAGGAACCCCAUCCUCCUGGGUGCAGGUGCAGCUUCCCAACCAUGGCUGAGAAGGGGCUGAGGGCAGCUCCUUGGCACAAUCAGCCUGGACGCCAUAGAUGACGGCAGGAGGCAGAGAGGCUCUUGGGUGGAAAGGGGCAGGUCCACAGUGAAGGCCCACCCUGAAGCCAGGGAUGGCCUGAAGCCUGGGAGCUGGGCUGAGGGACCAGAAUGGGAAC